ensembl:miRNA
GGCAUGGUGCGGCGGGGCAGCUGGUGUUGUGAAUCAGGCCGUUGCCAAUCAGAGAACGGCUACUUCACAACACCAGGGCC